AAAGGGCGGUCUAAGUUAUAAACUGCCUUAUACUGUGAAACUGCGAAUGGCUCAUUAAAUCAGUUAUAGUUUAUUUGGUGGUACCUUACUACUCGGAUAACCGUAGUAAUUCUAGAGCUAAUACGUGCGUAAAUCCCGACUUCUGGAAGGGACGUAUAUAUUAGAUAAAAGGCCGACCGGGCUUUGCCCGACCCGCGGUGAAUCAUGAUAUCUUCAAGAAUCGCAUGGCCUUGCGCCGGCGCUGUUCCAUUCAAAGUUCUGCCCUAUCAACUUUCCAUGGUAAGAUACAGGCCUAACAUGGUGGAAACGGGUGACGGAGGAUUAGGGUUCGAUUCCGGAGAGGGAGCCUGAGAAACAGCUACCUCAUUUAAUGAAGGUAGCAGGCGCGACACUUACUCCCUCACGAUUCAGCCAGGAAGUGCCUCUCCAACACAAUAGAGGGCCUUUAAUGUCUGCUACUUGGGCUGACUACUAUCAACCCUCCCUUAAUCAGGAUCCAAUGUAUGUCA
rnacentral:rRNA from 1 species